rnacentral:lncRNA from 1 species
UUUUGGUAUUUAUGCUUGUCGAUAAAUUUGUUAAAAGCUAGUCCUCUCGUGAUUGCCAACCAGUCUGCAAUAUUAUUUGAUACUUUCUAUAUAUUUUUAGGAUGCUUUCACUUUAUCACAUGACAGCAGCAUGUUAUUUAUGAUUUGAGUGCACCAUAUCCCAUGAUUUUGUCGAUAUUCGUUACACAUUAUGUCCAAAAGAAAUGAAACAGUGUCAUGCUUGCAUUA